UAACAAUUGUUCUUCAAACCCUACACCUCUC
rnacentral:piRNA from 1 species